rnacentral:rRNA from 1 species
UACGUAGGGUGCGAGCGUUAAUCGGAAUUACUGGGCGUAAAGCGUGCGCAGGCGGUUCGUUAAGUCAGAUGUGAAAGCCCCAGGCUUAACCUGGGAAGUGCACUCGAAACUGUAGGGCUUGAGUAUGGAAGAGGGUCUCGGAAUUCCCGGUGUAGAGGUGAAAUUCGUAGAUAUCGGGAGGAACACCAGUGGCGAAGGCGGAGACCUGGGCCAAUACUGACGCUGAGGUGCGAAAGCGUGGGGAGCAAACAGG